AUUAUGAAAAAUAAGGGUUGUGAUUUCCUCACAAAUUUUCAACAUAUGUCAUAACGACAUUUUUGGUACGAUAAAAAGUUUUAUCACCAAGAAAGUAAUAACAAACAAAAACAAAAUAUUUUUUUAUUCAUUAACAACAUGUGUUUUAAGCAACAAGUAAAGGAAGCGAUUAUUAUAGUGUUUACAAAAUUGUUGGGCAGAUGUAAAGUAUAAAAAUCCUCGGAUGAUUGAGUGGAUUAUUUCCAUUUGGAUAGCCGUGGAACAGCACAGUCUAAAGAAUACAAAAGAAGUCAACAAAAAAUGGAUAAGAAAAACAUUUUGUUAUGCUUCAUGGUGUUAUGUUUAAUUGCGAAUUGCUAUGGCGCUUUUCCAUGGAAAUGCAUACAAUGCCAGACUAAAUUCGAUCAAUGUAAAGCAGCGAAUGAAAGUGAGAUGUUUAUUUGCCUUCGCGCAAAAACUCGCUGUUACGAAAGUUGUAAAGCAGGACAAACUGAGAGAUCGAGAGCGCAAAGGAUUUUAUUCAAGAGAAUCCUAAAGAAAAUGAAGAGGACGGAAAGUUAACAAAUAUGUCUUAAGCAAUAAAUAUGAGUGUUUAUAUUACAGACAAUUAUUAAUAUAAUCGUGAAAUAUUGUAGCUUUUUUGAUAAAUUUAUAUGAUUCGAAAUACAACAUGUUUUAAAUAUAAA